rnacentral:rRNA from 1 species
GUACCUACGGGGCGCAGCAGUAGGGAAUCUUCCACAAUGGGCGAAAGCCUGAUGGAGCAACGCCGCGUGGGUGAAGAAGGUCUUCGGAUCGUAAAACCCUGUUGUUAGAGAAGAAAGUGCGUGAGAGUAACUGUUCACGUUUCGACGGUAUCUAACCAGAAAGCCACGGCUAACUACGUGCCAGCAGCCGCGGUAAUACGCAGGUGGCAAGCGUUAUCCGGAUUUCUUGGGCGUAAAGGGAACGCAGGCGGUCUUUUAAGUCUUAUGUGAAAGCCUUCGUCUUAAAC